UUGCUUGCGAGAUAUCCGAUUCAAGCUACCACGUACCUUUUCUAGCCCUGUUGGGUGUGAUUCACCUAGUUGGUUCUGAAAUUACAGGUGGUUCUUGGUUUCUUUUGGACCGUAAGGUACAUCGCUUCUACCGGAGUGACGGGUAUCAGUGGCAGAAAAGGAUGGAUGGGAAGAGCGAUUAUGAAGCCCAUGAGUACCUUGAGGUUGAUAAUGUACGUGCACUGAAUUGCUACUCUGGUCAUGUAGAAAAAAAACCUACAUUCCAGAGGCGGAUAUAUUGGACGCUUGAACCACAAAACCCACACUCAACCAUAUGCCAUUACAACAUUUGAAAGACAUUACUAACAACUUCUGCAAUGGGAGAAUACUUGGUAGAGGUGGUUAUGGUGUGGUAUAUAAGGGGGUGCUAGAAAACGGGAAAAUGGUCGCAGUGAAGAAGAUUGUGCAGUCAGUGUCAAGCUCACAUGAGCAAUUUGAGAAUGAGGUUAAUCUUCUUAUGAAACUAAAGCACCCAAAUAUAGUGUGACUACUAGGCUACUGCUAUGAAACACAACAUUUGCGUAAACUUCAUGAAGGAAAGUUCUUUUUUGUUUGGUACACUGAAUGUUUGCUUUGUUUGGAGUAUUUGCCUAAGGGAAGUCUUGAUAAGUACAUUUCAGAUGCAUCUUCUGGACUUGAUUGGCCCACACGCCUCAAAAUAAUCGAGGGGAUUUCCUAUGGGCUACAGUACCUCCACGAGCAAUCUGAUGGUCCCAUUAUUCACUUGGAUCUAAAACCUGCGAAUGUAUUGCUUGAUGAAGAUAUGAUACCCAAAAUUACAGACUUUGGUCUGUCAAGACUGUUUGAUCAAAAACAAACUAUUCACACCGCAAUUACUAUUGGAACAUUAGGUUAUAUGCCGCCGGAAUACCUAUGAGGUAUAAUCACACCUAUGUCAGACAUAUUUGGUUUGGGUGUAAUUAUCAUGGAGGUAAUAACGGGACACAGGGACUACCCAUAUGAUAUUAGAAAAUCUUCCACGGAAUUCAUCGAGUGUGAACUUCAAAAAUGGACAAAUGCACUGCAAAAAGAACCAGGGUAUACAUCACUUGAAAUGGAUUGCCAACAAAUAAUAAGAUGCAUUCAGAUAGGUCUAAUUUGCGUGAAUCCUGAGCGUACCAAAAGACCUACAAUGAAGAAAAUUAUUGAUAUGCUUCAAGGGUUGGAAAGUAUGGAUUGGUAUAUUAGCAAUGAGGUAACAUCACUUGGAGCCAAUGUAUCAUAGCAUCAGGGUAUUCUGUUAGAUAUGAUGUAUUAGUCUCCUUUUCCUACCCUAGAGAGUACAAAACAUUACAUUUAUAUACUUGUACCUAGAAAGUGGAAAAUGCUAUAACAUCUUCUAAAUUCUCGUUUACAUUGAAAAUAGAACCUUGUCUCUAGGACUAAGCUAUUGUGCUUAAUGCAUACCCUGUAUGCCACUUUGUAACUUGAA